ACAGUUAUAACAAAAUCUCAAGAGUCUAUCCUUCGUUUUCCACAACAACACUGGAAUCUUCCAGGGUGAGGUACUAAGUCAGAUACACCCUUUAUCUACUAAGCUCUCUUAUACUUUUCUGACUCUUCUGAACUCUCUCUUUCUCUGCAGGUGCCAUCCUGUAGGGUAGAAGGAAAGAAAUGAUUCUGCGGCCAGAUAUCAUUCUCAUUCCAAACUCUAAUUCCCUAACAGAUGGUAAACCUGACAGCUAUUCUGGGAAACAUCUAGAACUCUCUUCUAGUAUAGGGCACUGAGGCUGAUUCCCUGUCCUGACAAACUUGCUCACAACCCUCUAAUAACCUUUCCUGAAUACCCAUGAGCCUGAUGGACUGACAUUAACUUCUAGGCACCACUAGACACUGUCCCACUAAAGGACUGCCUAAUCCAUCCAAUUCCCCUACCUUGUCUCUAUGGACACAGGUAGUACCAUGAGUAAUGCAUCAAUCCGCCCUAGAAUGACAUCAUGCAGUCACUUCUAGAACCAUAAGGUCAGCUGGAUUGCAUCUACUCACCAUAACCUCUGAACUGAACUGACU
rnacentral:lncRNA from 1 species